AAGUCGUAACAAGGUUUCCGUAGGUGAACCUGCGGAAGGAUCAUUAAAGAGAGAAAAGUAAACCAAGAGCAAGAGGAGACAAAAAAAUAAAAGAGUAAAGAAAAUAAGAGAAAACAACUUUUAGCAACGGAUCUCUAGGUUCUC
rnacentral:misc_RNA from 1 species